rnacentral:rRNA from 1 species
UACAGAGGGGGCGAGCGUUGUUCGGAAUUACUGGGCGUAAAGGCGCGUAGGCGGCCAACUAAGUCAGACGUGAAAUCCCUCGGCUCAACCGGGGAACUGCGUCUGAUACUGGAUGGCUUGAAUUCGGGAGAGGGAUGCGGAAUUCCAGGUGUAGCGGUGAAAUGCGUAGAUAUCUGGAGGAACACCGGUGGCGAAGGCGGCAUUCUGGACCGACAUUGACGCUGAGGAGCGAAAGCCAGGGGAGCAAACGGG